UACAGGGGGGGCAAGCGUUGUUCGGAAUUACUGGGCGUAAAGGGUUUGUAGGUGGCCACUUAAGUCAGACGUGAAAUCCCUCAGCUUAACUGGGGAACUGCGUCUGAUACUGCGUGGCUUGAGUGCAGGAGAGGAACGCGGAAUUCCAGGUGUAGCGGUGAAAUGCGUAGAGAUGUGGAGGAACACCAAUGGCGAAGGCAGCCUUCUGGGCCAACACUGACGCUCAUGCACGAAAGCGUGGGGAGCAAACAGG
rnacentral:rRNA from 1 species